rnacentral:rRNA from 1 species
GACGAACGCUGGCGGCGCGCUUAACACAUGCAAGUCGAACGGAAAGGCCUGCUUUCCCUUGUGGAUUGCGGGUACUCGAGUGGCGAACGGGUGAGUAACACGUGAGUGAUCUGCCCCCAACUUGGGUAUAAGCCUGGGAAACUGGGUCUAAUUCCCGAUAGGACUGCAGGGUGGUGCCUGUGGUGGAAAACGAUUUUCUAGUGGUUGGGGAUGAGCUCGCGGCCUAUCAGCUUGUUGGUGGGGUAAUGGCCUACCAAGGCGGCGACGGGUAGCCGGCCUGAGAGGGUGGACGGCCACAUUGGGACUGAGAUACGGCCCAGACUCCUACGGGAGGCAGCAGUGGGGAAUAUUGCACAAUGGGCGGAAGCCUGAUGCAGCGACGCCGCGUGGGGGAUGACGGCCUUCGGGUUGUAAACUCCUUUCGACCGCGAGGAAGCCAGCUGGUUGGAAGGGUGGUGACGGUAGUGGUAGAAGAAGCACCGGCUAACUACGUG